GAAAUGCGAUAAGUAGUGUGAAUUGCAGAAUUCAGUGAAUCAUCGAAUCUUUGAACGCACAUUGCGCCCUUUGGUAUUCCUUAGGGCAUGCCUGUUCGAGCGUCAUUUGUAACCUCAAGCUCAGCUUGGUGUUGGGUGUCUGUCCCUGCCCCGCGCGGGGACUCGCCUCAAAAACAUUGGCGGCCGGUACGUUGGCUUCGAGCGCAGCAGAAACGCGAACUCGAGGCCCGACGGAUCGGCGACCAGAAGUCACUUCUUCCACAGCUUGACCUCGGAUCAGGUAGGGAUACCCGCUGAACUUAAGC
rnacentral:misc_RNA from 1 species